UACGUAGGGUCCGAGCGUUGUCCGGAAUUAUUGGGCGUAAAGGGCUCGUAGGUGGUUUGUCGCGUCGGGAGUGAAAUCCCUGGGCUUAACCCAGGGCCUGCUUUCGAUACGGGCAGACUAGAGGCAUUCAGGGGAGAACGGAAUUCCUGGUGUAGCGGUGAAAUGCGCAGAUAUCAGGAGGAACACCGGUGGCGAAGGCGGUUCUCUGGGCAUGAUCUGACGCUGAGGAGCGAAAGUGUGGGGAGCGAACAGG
rnacentral:rRNA from 1 species